rnacentral:rRNA from 1 species
UACGUAGGGGGCGAGCGUUGUCCGGAAUCAUUGGGCGUAAAGCGCGUGUAGGCGGCCCGGUAAGUCCGCUGUGAAAGUCCAGGGCUCAACCCUGGGAUGCCGGUGGAUACUGUCGGGCUCGAGUCCGGAAGAGGCGAGUGGAAUUCCUGGUGUAGCGGUGAAAUGCGCAGAUAUCAGGAGGAACACCAAUGGCGAAGGCAGCUCGCUGGGACGUGACUGACGCUGAGACGCGAAAGCGUGGGGAUCAAACAGG